GAUGAAGAACGUAGCGAAAUGCGAUAAGUAAUGCGAAUUGCAGAAUCCGUGAGUCAUCGAAUCUUUGAACGCACAUUGCGACCUCUGGUAUUCCGGAGGGCAUGCCUGUUCGAGCGUCAUUAUCACCCCUCAAGCCCGGCUUGUUGUUGGAUGCAGCGCUUAUCCCGCUCCUCCCAAAGAUAAUGACGGCGUCUGCGACGACUCCUGUACACUGAGCUUUCGGGCACGUACACGGCUAGAAGUCCAGACCCGGUCGCCGUCCCCCCCGCGGGGACACCCAUUACCACAAGGUUGACCUCGGAUCAGGUAGGAAUACCCGCUGAACUUAAGCAUAUCAAUAAGCGGAGGA
rnacentral:misc_RNA from 1 species